UCAAUAAGCGGAGGAAAAGAAACCAACAGGGAUUGCCUUAGUAACGGCGAGUGAAGCGGCAGCAGCUCAAAUUUGAAAUCUGGCUCCUUUGGGGCCCGAGUUGUAAUUUGUAGAGGAUGUUUCGGCGUGGUCCCAGGUCUAAGUUCCUUGGAACAGGACGUCACAGAGGGUGAGAAUCCCGUACGUGGCCGUGGGUACCCGCCAUGUGAAGCUCCUUCGACGAGUCGAGUUGUUUGGGAAUGCAGCUCUAAAUGGGAGGUAAAUUUCUUCUAAAGCUAAAUACUGGCCAGAGACCGAUAGCGCACAAGUAGAGUGAUCGAAAGAUGAAAAGCACUUUGGAAAGAGAGUCAAAAAGUACGUGAAAUUGUUGAAAGGGAAGCGCUUGCAACCAGACCUGCCUGCGGUUGCUCAUCCGGGCUCUUGCCCGGUGCACUCUUCCGCAGUCAGGCCAGCAUCAGUUCUGGCGGUCGGAUAAAGGCGGCGGGAAUGUGGCUCCCCUCGGGGAGUGUUAUAGCCCGUCGUGUAAUGCGGCCAGCCGGGACUGAGGUCCGCGCUUCGGCUAGGAUGCUGGCGUAAUGGUUGUAAGCGGCCCGUCUUGA
rnacentral:rRNA from 1 species